rnacentral:lncRNA from 1 species
AAAUUUUUAUUAAUAUUUGUUAUAUAUAAAUUUAUUAAUAUUCUUUAUUCUUUUAAUUAGUAUAACCAAAUAACAGAAAAUAUUUUCUAAAUAUAGAUUAUUUUUCACAACCAAAGGGGGGGUCCACUUACUGUUGAGCCACACUGUGAACUAGAAAGCUUUGGUACAAUUGAGGCCAGAAGAUACCUACUAUCAAUUGAUCAAGAUUCAUUGAACUUCAAUUUUAAUUGCAUUUAAAUAACUUUAUAAUUUAUUUUUUAUUAUUUUUUUCAACAUUAUCCAUAAGGGUAUCUUUCUAAAAACUCUUAAUUUGGAAAUUUAUUCUCUUCAAUGUAAAAAAAAUAAAAUCAUAAUUAAUGCAUGCAAUUCAAAGCUUUUUCAUAAACAAAACACCCAAGAUUGAAGAAGAAGAUGAUAAAAAUUACAAGAAAAUUAAAAAAAAAAACAUAAUUACAUCUAGUGGAUAGUAUCAAAGGAGAAGUAGGCUAAUAUCCUCCUUCUCAGCUUGAUUUUUCUGGAAAAAUCUCUGAUCUCUAGCCUCAACGCCAAACAGACUCUCAAGAAUUGCCUACUUAGAUGAGUGGGUAUUGGCUGGCUUGCCACCAUUGCCUCCAUUUUCCUCGUUCUUUUUUCCUGGAAAUAAAAAUUUUUUCAAAUCAUCACAUAUUUUGUCUUUUAUCUGAGUUCUACUUCCUGGAAGAUUUGCAAAUCCUUUCUUCUCUGUCUUGCUGGUUCUGCUGCUGUCCAUUUCGAUAUGGAGAAAGAUGAUAAGGAGGCUACAGUCACUGAGGAAGAAGAAAGAAGAAAGCCAGAGACUUGUCAUGGUGAGAGAUUGUUUUAAGCAGUGGGGUCUAUAUAUAUCUCCCGGUAGUUGUGUGAGCACAUAAAAGC